rnacentral:rRNA from 1 species
CGCGUAGGCGGCCAUGCAAGUCUGGAGUGAAAGUCCUCAUUUUAAGUGAGGAAUUGCUUUGGAAACUGCGUGGCUUGAGUGCAGGAGAGGUUAUCGGAAUUCCCGGUGUAGCGGUGAAAUGCGUAGAGAUCGGGAGGAACACCAGUGGCGAAGGCGGGUAACUGGACUGCAACUGACGCUGAGGCGCGAAAGUGUGGGGAGCAAAC